rnacentral:tRNA from 1 species
GCCGAGGUAGCUCAGUGGUAGAGCAGAGGACUGAAAAUCCUCGUGUCGCGAGUUCAAUUCUCGCCCUCGGCACCA